rnacentral:rRNA from 1 species
UACGUAGGGUGCGAGCGUUGUCCGGAAUUAUUGGGCGUAAAGGGCUCGUAGGCGGUUUGUCACGUCGGGUGUGAAAACUCAGGGCUUAACCCUGAGCCUGCUUCCGAUACGGGCAGACUAGAGGUAUGCAGGGGAGAAUGGAAUUCCUGGUGUAGCGGUGAAAUGCGCAGAUAUCAGGAGGAACACCAGUGGCGAAGGCGGUUCUCUGGGCAUUACCUGACGCUGAGGAGCGAAAGUGUGGGGAGCGAACAGG